UCAUCCUGUCUGUAAUAUUGAGACGUCUGCAUUGUUGUGCUGUGAAAAUGCUCAAAAUUUUCAUGACUGUCUUUCAUGACUGCCAACUUUGUUUAUGUUAACGUCUUUUGUGUGACCAAAAAAAUAAUAAAGGUCAGCGACGUGUAAAUUAACGCGAAAAGGAUUUUACGAUGAUCUCACCAAUCCCAUACAUGCGUGCGCUGCCUAAUUCUUUAUUGGAUUUAGUUUGACCUGAGUAUUUUCAUUUGCUAAGAUGAACAGUGUGCUCUAGACGCCAGGAGAAUGCAUUUCUCAGCACUGACUGAAAGAAACAAAAUUUUUGAAACGUCAUACUCUUUUUUAGUUUAAUCUUUUUUUUUUGGAGGGGUCCAUGCGCUCUUCUUACUCCGAGAAUAAAAGGUGUUGUAGGCGAAAGAAAGGUGUAGGCGAAAGAACGGUGUUGUAGACGAAAGAAAGGUGUUGUAGACGAGAGAAAGGUGUUGUAGACGAGAGAAAGGUGUUGUAGACGAGAGAAAGGUGUUGUAGGCGAAAGAAAGGUGUUGUAGAUGAAAGAAAGGUGUUGUAGACGAAAGAAAGGUGUUGUAGACGAGAGAAAGGUGUUGUAGACGAAAGAAAGGUGUUGUAGACGAGAGAAAGGUGUUGUAGACGAGAGAAAGGUGUUGUAGAUGAGAGAAAGGUGUUGUAGGCGAAAGAAAGGUGUUGUAGGCGAAAGAAAGGUGUUGUAGACGAAAGAAAGGUGUUGUAGACGAAAGAAAGGUGUUGUAGGCGAAAGAAAGGUGUUGUAGACGAAAGAAAGGUGUUGUAGGCGAAAGAAAGGUGUUGUAGGCGAAAGAAAGGUGUUGUAGAAAGGUGUAGGCGAAAGAAAGGUGUAGACGACAGAAAGGUGUUGUAGGCGAAAGAAAGGUGUUGUAGACGAAAGAAAGGUGUUGUAGGCGAAAGAAAGGUGUUGUAGGCGAAAGAAAGGUGUUGUAGAAAGGUGUAGGCGAAAGAAAGGUGUAGACGACAGAAAGGUAUUGUGGGCGAAAGAAAGGUGUUGUAGACGAGAGAAAGGUGUUGUAGAUGAGAGAAAGGUGUUGUAGACGAAAGAAAGGUGUUGUAGGCGAGAGAAAGGUGUUGUAGGCGAGAGACAGGUGUUGUAGAUGAGAGAAAGGUGUUGUAGAUGAGAGAAAGGUGUUGUAGGCGAAAGAAAGGUGUUGUAGGCGAGAGAAAGGUGUAGACGAAAGAAAGGUGUUGUAGACGAGAGAAAGGUGUAGGCGAAAGAAAGGUCUUGUAGACGAGAGAAAGGUGUAGGCGAAAGAAAGGUGUUGUAGACGAAAGAAAGGUGUUGUAGGCGAGAGAAAGGUGUUGUAGGCGAGAGAAAGGUGUUGUAGAUGAGAGAAAGGUGUUGUAGACGAGAGAAAGGUCUUGUAGACGAGAGAAAGGUGUUGUAGACGAAAGAAAGGUGUUGUAGACGAGAGAAAGGUGUAGGCGAAAGAAAGGUGUUGUAGACGAGAGAAAGGUGUAGGCGAAAGAAAGGUGUUGUAGACGAGAGAAAGGUGUUGUAGGCGAGAGAAAGGUGUUGUAGGCGAGAGAAAGGUGUUGUAGACG